GAUUCUGGCUCAGGAUGAACGCUAGCUACAGGCUUAACACAUGCAAGUCGAGGGGAAACGACAUCGAAAGCUUGCUUUUGAUGGGCGUCGACCGGCGCACGGGUGAGUAACGCGUAUCCAACCUGCCCACCACUUGGGGAUAACCUUGCGAAAGUAAGACUAAUACCCAAUGAUAUCUCUAGAAGACAUCUGAAAGGGAUUAAAGAUUUAUCGGUGAUGGAUGGGGAUGCGUCUGAUUAGCUUGUUGGCGGGGUAACGGCCCACCAAGGCGACGAUCAGUAGGGGUUCUGAGAGGAAGGUCCCCCACAUUGGAACUGAGACACGGUCCAAACUCCUACGGGAGGCAGCAGUGAGGAAUAUUGGUCAAUGGACGAGAGUCUGAACCAGCCAAGUAGCGUGCAGGAAGACGGCCCUAUGGGUUGUAAACUGCUUUUAUAAGGGAAUAAAGUGAGUCUCGUGAGACUUUUUGCAUGUACCUUAUGAAUAAGGACCGGCUAAUUCCGUGCCAGCAGCCGCGGUAAUACGGAAGGUCCGGGCGUUAUCCGGAUUUAUUGGGUUUAAGGGAGCGUAGGCCGGAGAUUAAGCGUGUUGCGAAAUGUAGACGCUCAACGUCUGCACUGCAGCGCGAACUGGUUUCCUUGAGUACGCACAAAGUGGGCGGAAUUCGUGGUGUAGCGGUGAAAUGCUUAGAUAUCACGAAGAACUCCGAUUGCGAAGGCAGCUCACUGGAGCGCAACUGACGCUGAAGCUCGAAAGUGCGGGUAUCGAACAGGAUUAGAUACCCUGGUAGUCCGCACGGUAAACGAUGGAUGCCCGCUGUUGGUCUGAAUAGGUCAGCGGCCAAGCGAAAGCAUUAAGCAUCCCACCUGGGGAGUACGCCGGCAACGGUGCAACUCAAAUGAAUUGACGG
rnacentral:rRNA from 1 species